UACGGGGGGAGCAAGCGUUGUUCGGAUUUACUGGGCGUAAAGGGCGCGUAGGCGGCGUGACAAGUCACUUGUGAAAUCUCCGGGCUUAACCCGGAGCGGCCAAGUGAUACUGUUGUGCUAGAGUGCGGAAGGGGCUACUGGAAUUCUCGGUGUAGCGGUGAAAUGCGUAGAUAUCGAGAGGAACACCUGCGGCGAAGGCGGGUAGCUGGGCCGACACUGACGCUGAGGCGCGAAAGCCAGGGGAGCGAACGGG
rnacentral:rRNA from 1 species